rnacentral:rRNA from 1 species
CCCUUAGAUGCUCUGGGCCGCACGCGCGCUACACUGAUGCAUUCAACGAGUAAUCUUUGACCUUGGUCGACAGAUCUGGGUAAUCUUUUGAAAUUGCAUCGUGAUGGGGCUUGCGGGUUGCAAUUACCCGCACCAACGAGGAAUUCCUAGUAAACGCAAGUCAUCAACUUGCAUUGAUUACGUCCCUGCCCUUUGUACACACCGCCCGUCGCUCCUACCGAUUGAGCGGUCCGGUGAAGACUCAGGAGAUGGGCGCGUGCUUGGCUCGCCAACUGCGCUGCCUGCCAAAUUUGUCUAAACCUUAUCGCUUAGAGGAAGGAGAAGUCGUAACA